UUGAGGAGGAGGAUCGGCCCGCACUAAUAAAUCCAUGUGGUACCCUUUUUAUUAGUCAAUGUGGGACUAAGAUAAUUUUCCUCAUCUAAUCUCGUUGUGCCCUCAUCACGGUUGGCUCCUACUCCACAAAGGAGGGCCCACUCAUAGCUUGGAUCCCACUAGACUCUACUAGGUCCUCCUCGAUCUGGGUAUCUACAGUGAAGAGUCUACAUAAGUAAUAAAAGUUGUAACGUGCGAUGGUUCUGGAUUUGAUACCACUUGUCAUAGACUCAUAGCCCAAAAGCUUAAACUAUUAAGAAGAAGACCAUCCUAGGCUAAUAAACCCAUGUGGCACCUUUUUUAUUAGUCUAUAAGGGACUAUGAUAAUUUCUCCUGACCAAUCUCGUGAAGCCCUUAUGACGGUUGGCUCCUAUUCGGGAGAGGAGGCCCAUCUAUGACCUGGUCCUCAUCAACCUUAGUAUCUUCCGAUGAGGGGCUUGCAUAACUAAUAAAAAUUAUGAUGUGUAAUGGGUAUGGCUUUGAUACCACUUGUCAUGGACUCAUAUUCCAAAGCUUAAGUUGUUGAGAGAGGAGUUGAUAACACCCUUGUCAUGGUUGGCUCCUAUUCGAGAAGAGGGGGCACCUAGCCAUAGUUUGGGUCUUCCUCGACCUUAGUAUCUCUUGGUGAAGAGCCCACAUGAUUA
rnacentral:lncRNA from 1 species